AAGCGCACGUGCAGUGUGUCCCUCCCGCCCACCCCUCCUUCCCAGCUUGUGCGACGCAUUCGGUUUCAAGAUCCGACAAAAAACCGAAUCUACCCCUGCGUGUAUCGUAUGAACGCAUCUAUUGAAUGCCCUAUACCACUGUAUCGGAUCUGCAUUUUGCAGUAUCGCCGGAUCGGUUUGUAGUCGCAAAAUCGGAUGUCAACUUCAGCAAGAUUCGGCUUUUUUGUCGUGUCUUGAAACCGAAUGCAUGUGUGAACUCCUUCAUUGAAAUACUUAUGCCACUAAACCGAAUCCUGCAAAAAACCGAUUCGGUAGCACGCCGUGUGAACGUGGCGUUACUGGGACGACUAGACAUAAGAGUACGAGAUACAAGUUUCAGAGAAUGUAUUUGCCCAGAACAAAGAUUAGCCAUAUGUCUAAGAUAUUUAGCUUCAGGAUGUUCAUUCAAAGAAAUACAUUACUCAUACAGAGUAGGCGUUUCGACAAUAAGUAAACUAAUAAAAGAAAUGACCCACGUCAUUUGGGAAAACCUAAAGACAGAUUUCCUUAAGCUGCCUGAUACUGAGAGAGAAUGGGAGGACAUCGCUUCAGGAUUCGAAAGAAAAGCCAACUUUCCUCACUGUCUUGGAGCAGUAGAUGGCAAACAUAUCAGAAUUUUGAAACCAGCCAAGAGUGGUUCUAUGUUCUUUAAUUACAAGGAGUAUUAUUCUUUUGUAUUAAUGGCAGUUGUCGAUUCAGAGUACCGAUUUAUUUUUAUUAGUGUGGGCUCAUUUGGCAAGGAAUGCGAUUCUAGUAUAUUAAAGGAUAGUACAUUUUGGCAAAAGAUCAAUGAUGGUACUUUAAAUGUACCAAAGCCUAGACCGCUUCAUGAAAACUUGCACGAAGAAUUACCGUUUAUACUUGUUGGCGAUGAAGGCUUUGCUUUAACACCUAAUCUCCUACGUCCAUAUGGAGGUACACAUUUGAAUACUGAUAAAAAGAUUUUUAACUAUAGACUAAGUCGAGCAAGAAGGUAUGUUGAGUGCGCUUUUGGUAUUCUGGCAAAUAAGUGGCGAAUAAUCCAUCGAGCUAUAGAUCUCAACGUAGACACAGCAAUUCAAGUAAUUAAAGCUUGUGCAGUCUUACAUAAUUUUGUAAGAGAAAAAGAUGGUAUAAAUUUUGAAAGUUACCAAAAUAUAGAACAUAGACAAGAACAAGAAACUACACCCAUGAAUCGAAAUGUGUCGAGUCGAGGUGGCCCUAAUGCCAACGCUAUACGGACAUUAUUUACUAAUUAUUUUGUUUCAGAUAUUGGUUCCGUUCCGUGGCAGGCAGCAGCUAUAAAAUAAAAUUUAUCAAUGCAUUUACAUUUUAUCAAUAAAACAUUAAAAACUCACCGUACUGUUUUCUUUCUUUUUCAUCCAGUUCAUCGAAGUUUGGUUUCAGUAUUAAACAUACUUCACGCCAUGCUGCUAACUUUAAGUUUUUGUCUUUAUAAACGUCUUCGGUCUUAUCCCACUGAACAGGUCUCUCUUGGACAAGCGUAAUUAAAGUUUCUGCUUGAAUAUCCAUGCUAAACGUCUACUUUUACCAGAACAUGCGAGCCGAAUGACGUGAGUGGACCAAAACGGUACGGUUGAAAAAACGUGCUAGCUUGUACAUGAUACGGCAAAAUCACCGCGCGAGACAUUGGUAAGUACUGGCUAGUAGCGCUUUUUACUCGGGCUGUGUAGGACGUGCUGCGUCAUGAAUUUUCUUACGAAAAAAAAGAUUAUAGUUGCUUAUUACAUAUAUAGGAAAAAGAAAAUAGAAAAAAAAAGGGAAGUAAGGUUUUGGAUACAUCCGAUUUUAGAAAAAAGGGAGGAAUAUGGCGCGUUUCAUACACUUGUCAAGAAUCAAUUGAGAGAAGAUGAAGACAAGUUUUACAAUUAUUUUAGAAUGCAGAAAACUACAUUCGACAACUUGCUCCAAAAAUUAUCCCAGGAACUAAAACAUCAAGAUACUUUUAUGCGAGAGAGUAUAUCGCCCGCAGAAAGAUUGGCUGUAACUCUGAGGUAAGUAGGUACAAAAUUAAAUGACAUAUUUUAGUUUAAAAUUGUUUAUUGCACACAAACAAAAUUAUUACAUGUAAUUGAAUUUUAAUAAUUAUUAAUUUAAGAACAAGUAAAUCAAAAAAUACACUACGCUGAAAAUGCUACUCAAGUGCGGCACUAAAAUCGAAUUCGUCUUCAAUAGAAACUUGAGAAUCUGCCGAGAUACUUUCCGCAUUUACACUAUGUACAGAUAAUUGUGAUUCGGGUCGGUAGUGGAUUGGCUCUAAACCAGAACCGUGUCCAAAAUCAUGAGAAGACGUCUGUGGACGACUUAUUCCAUAGCCCGAUCUAGCAGCUGUAGAAUAUCCAUAUGUUGACGAUUGCGCAUUUGAGGAUGCUGUACCACUUAAAUAUCCUUGAUGGCCUUGAUCCCAUUGGUUUCUUGAUGUAGGUAUAUACCGAGUACACUGUCUUUGUUGAAUAUUUUUAAUUAUUGAAAUUACUUGAAACUGAAAGUCUAUCAUAUUUUCAUCACUGAACUUGUCAACUGUAUCAGCGAUUCCCAUAAAAAAGUUCAUACUACGGCUUUUCUUUUUCUCAUCUCGUUCUGCUGAAUCCAUAAACUUCAUAAACCUAAUGUCAACUUCACUUAGUUCAUUUUUUCUUUUUUUUUUAGCCCUUUGCGUCUCACUCCGUUCAGUGUAUCCCGAGCUUGAUUGAUUCGGGACUGCACUAUCAAAAUUUUCAUUACUGAGGCUAGAAUCAUGAACAUGUUCAGUCAUGUUAGAAUCGGUCUUGCGAUGCUCAACAUUUUUUUUUUAGGAACAUCAUUUCAUCAUAGAACAUAUAUUUUCUUAUUUUUUUUGCUGAAGAACCAGACUUACAUUCUUUAAUUUUUUUGUCAUAUUUUAUCCAGCUAUCUUUCAUAUUGGUCCACUUCUUCAUCACCAUUUGCCCUGAAAAUAAAUAAAUAAUAAUUAUUAAAUUCAAAAUUUAUAAAAACCCCCGACCUAAACUGAAUCGACCCCGACCUAAAAUGGGGUUUUAGUAUUUGAACCUGAACCGUUUUGUUUUAUAUUUCAGGUAUCUAGCAACAGGAGAUACCUUUACUGACCUAUACUACAGCUAUAGAAUUGGAAUAAAAACCAUAAGUUGCAUCGUACAAGACUGGCUACACAUUGCAAGCAAAUUUCAAGAAUCUUCCAACUUCCCGCUGUGCUUAGGAGCGGUCGAUGGAAAACACAUCAGACUUAUUAAGCCAAUUGAUAGUGGCUCGAUGUUUUUAAAUUACAAACAUUUUUUUUCUAUAGUUUUGAUGGCAGUAGUAGAUAGCGAUUACAACUUUAUAUUUGUUGACGUUGGCGCCUACGGAAAGGAGUGUGAUUCCAGUGUGUUUAAAGAGACCCCAUUUUGGAAAAAUUUAACAAACAACGGAUUAAAUCUACCCGAUGCAACACGUUUGCCUGGAAUUGACUACGAUUUGCCAUAUGUGUUCAUUGCGGACGAAGCCUUUGCUUUGCAUUAUCACUUGCUUCGUCCAUUUGGUGGUCAUCAGCUUGAUCAAUUAAAACGUACAUUUAACUACAGACUCACCAGAGCGCGAAGAUUUGUUGAAUGUGCGUUUGGCAUUUUAUCCAAUAAAUGGCGAAUUUUUCACCGGCCAAUGAAUGUGUCCAUCGAUUUGGCAGUUGAUAUUGUGAAAACAUGUUGUGUUUUGCAAAAUUUUAUACAUAAGCAGGAAAACUUUCAGUUUCACAAUGCGAGUGAAAAUGAGUCCACCCUUGAUUCAGAAUCGGAACUAAUCCAGUUACCUAUCACGAAUGCAGUUCGCGGAAGUUUGGCGGCUAAUGAAGUUCGCAACAGAUUUGCACAAUAUUUUGUAUCUAACGAAGGUCGCCUCUCCUAUCAAAACAACUAUGCAUAAGUAAAAAGUUAAUAAUUAAAUAUCUGUAACUUACCAAA